UACGUAGGGGGCGAGCGUUGUCCGGAUUUAUUGGGCGUAAAGAGCUCGUAGGCGGCUUGGCAAGUCGGCGUGUGAAACCCCCAGCUUAACCUGGGGACGCCACUCGAAACUGCCAUGGCUAGAGUCCGGCAGGGGAUCGACGGAAUUCCUGGUGUAGCGGUGAAAUGCGCAGAUAUCAGGAGGAACACCAGUGGCGAAGGCGGUGG
rnacentral:rRNA from 1 species